AUCAGGAUCCAACAAUGGGAAAAACAUAGUAUUUGUAGUUCCACUAUAGGAGAAGCUUUCUACUGAACCACUUUCCUAUGAUUCAGUAGAGUUCGCCAAGAUGCCACAGUCAAAAUGCAUUACAUGUGGCAGUCAAAUGCCUUUGCAGCUGUUGCCGUUGCAUGUGGAGGAAUGCAAUGGCAUAUUGACUGUAAGCUGUAUUACAACAUGUCUCUCAUUUCUCUUUUUUAGUUUGUUCAAAUGACUGUUUAAAAGUAUUAAGUGUUUGUUUAUUAUAUAUAUAUUUUUUAAUUUAUUUUAUUUAUUUAGGAGAGUGAAUCUGGGACAUGUCUUGAUGAAGAUUGUUCAGUUCUUGAGCAGCCAGUCCCAUCUACCAUAGGCAUGGAUGAAUCCUUGGCGGUCUGCCCAAUCUGUCUUGCAUCGUACCCAGCUGAUGUUCUCCCAUCUCAUGCAAGCACAUGUGGUGACAGAAUGAACUGUGCUCAACCCAGCAUAGCAGCCAG